CCGAAGCCGCCGCGUCUGCCCGCCCUUAAAGGGCCGGCGCCCGAAAGAACUGGCGGCGCCGCGCGGCGUCGGGUCGCUACCUCCUGUCACGCCCCUCACCCUCAGACUCUCCGCCCCUUCGCGGCUGGCUCGGCCACCGGCUUCCUCUCCCUCCCUCGCUCCCCCUUUUCCCCGGCGGCGUCUCCAGGCUCCCAGCAACCAGCCGCCUCCCGGCUGUCACAUCCCCGGCGGGCGCCCACCGAGUCUCCCGGCCGUGUUCGGCCCCUGGCGAGCUGGGGCCCCUUCCUGAGGCCCGUCACCCUUCCCCCGGCCCUCCCGCCCCCAGCCGCCCCGUCCCCUCCCUGGUCCCUGAGAGCGCGACUGCGGCUCCAGGGAGGGGACGCUUCCUAAUCUCAGGCCGGGGUUAAAGUUCUGGUCCUGGUGAGAUGCUGGAAGCUGCGGCCCAAGCCCCAACCCGCCCUGGAGGUGUCCUGUCGCUUGCUGCCGCCGCUGCCGCUGCCACUGCCACCCUGCCGGGGCCAUGUUCGCCCUGGGCUUGCCCUUCUUGGCUCUCUUGGUGGCCUCGGUCGAGAGCCAUCUGGGAGUUCUGGGGCCUAAGAACGUCUCGCAGAAAGACGCGGAGUUUGAGCGCACCUACGUGGAUGAGGUCAACAGCGAGCUGGUCAACAUCUACACCUUCAACCACACCGUGACCCGCAACCGGACGGAAGGUGUGAGAGUGUCCGUGAAUGUCCUGAACAAGCAGAAGGGUGCUCCUUUGCUGUUUGUGGUCCGCCAGAAGGAGGCGGUGGUGUCCUUCCAGGUGCCCCUGAUCCUCCGAGGGAUGUUCCAGCGCAAGUACCUCUACCAAAAGGUGGAGCGAACGCUGUGUCAGCCCCCCACCAAGAAUGAGUCCGAGGUCCAGUUCUUCUACGUGGAUGUGUCCACCCUGUCACCAAUUAACACCACAUACCAGCUCCGCGUCAGCCGAAUGGACGACUUCGUGCUCAGGACCGGGGAGCCAUUCAGCUUCAACACCACGGCAGCGCAGCCCCAGUACUUCAAGUAUGAGUUCCCGGAAGGAGUGGACUCGGUCAUCGUCAAGGUGGCCUCCAACACGGCCUUCCCUUGCUCGGUGAUCUCCAUCCAGGAUGUGCUGUGUCCUGUGUAUGACCUAGACAACAACGUAGCCUUCAUCGGCAUGUAUCAGACGAUGACCAAGAAGGCAGCCAUCACCGUGCAGCGUAAGGACUUCCCCAGCAACAGCUUUUACGUGGUGGUGGUGGUGAAAACUGAAGACCAGGCCUGUGGGGGCUCCCUGCCUUUCUACCCCUUUAUAGAAGAUGAACCGGUCGAUCAAGGGCACCGCCAGAAAACCCUGUCCGUGCUGGUCUCGAGAGCAGUCACGUCGGAGGCCUACGUUGGCGGUAUGCUCUUCUGCCUGGGCAUAUUUCUCUCCUUCUAUCUGCUUACCGUGCUCCUGGCCUGUUGGGAAAACUGGAGGCAGAGGAAGAAGAGCCUUCUGGUGGCCGUGGACCGAGCCUGCCCAGAAAGCGCUUCUCUUCUUGGUCACCCUCGGGUCCUGGCCGACUCCUUUCCUGGCACCUCCCCCUAUGACGGCUACAACUACGGCUCCUUUGAGAAUGGUUCUGGCUCCACCGGCUCCACCGACGGUCUGGUUGACAGCGCGGGCCCCGGGGACCUAUCCUACAAUUACCCGGACCCUGCGGGCACUCGACCACGACUGGACUCCAUGAGCUCCGUGGAGGAAGAUGACUACGACACUCUGGCCGACAUUGAUUCAGACAAGAACGUCAUUCGCACUAAGCAAUACCUCUAUGUGGCUGACCUGGCGCGCAAGGACAAACGUGUCCUGCGGAAGAAGUACCAGAUCUACUUCUGGAACAUCGCCACCAUUGCCGUCUUUUACGCACUUCCUGUGGUACAGCUGGUGAUCACCUACCAGACGGUGGUGAAUGUCACAGGGAACCAGGACAUCUGCUACUACAACUUCCUCUGUGCCCACCCGUUGGGCAACCUCAGCGCCUUCAACAACAUCCUCAGCAACCUGGGGUACAUCCUGCUGGGGCUGCUCUUCCUGCUCAUCAUCUUGCAACGGGAGAUCAACCACAACCGGGCCCUGCUGCGCAACGACCUCUGUGCCCUGGAAUGUGGGAUCCCCAAACACUUUGGCCUCUUCUAUGCCAUGGGCACGGCCCUGAUGAUGGAGGGGCUGCUUAGCGCUUGCUAUCACGUCUGCCCCAACUACACCAAUUUCCAGUUUGACACGUCGUUCAUGUACAUGAUUGCGGGGCUCUGCAUGCUGAAGCUCUACCAGAAGCGGCACCCAGACAUCAACGCCAGUGCCUACAGCGCCUACGCCUGCUUGGCCAUCGUCAUCUUCUUCUCCGUGCUGGGCGUGGUGAGGCCCCGGCCCACUUUGCUCACCCGGAGGACAGGUCUUCGGCAAGGGGAACACAGCGUUCUGGAUCGUCUUCUCAGUCAUCCACAUCACUGCCACCCUGCUGCUCAGCACACAGCUCUAUUACAUGGGUCGCUGGAAGCUGGACUCGGGGAUCUGCCGUCGCAUCCUCCACGUGCUCUACACGGACUGCAUCCGGCAGUGCAGCGGGCCUCUCUACGUGGACCGCAUGGUGCUGCUGGUCAUGGGCAACAUCAUCAACUGGUCGCUGGCGGCCUAUGGGCUCAUCAUGCGUCCCAACGAUUUUGCCUCCUACCUGUUGGCCAUUGGCAUCUGCAACCUGCUUCUUUACUUUGCCUUCUACAUUAUUAUGAAGCUCCGGAGCGGGGAAAGGAUCAAGCUCAUUCCCCUGCUCUGCAUCGUCUGCACCUCGGUGGUCUGGGGCUUUGCCCUCUUCUUCUUCUUCCAGGGACUCAGCACCUGGCAGAAAACCCCCGCAGAGUCGCGGGAGCACAACCGGGACUGCAUCCUCCUCGACUUCUUUGACGAUCACGACAUCUGGCACUUCCUCUCCUCCAUCGCCAUGUUUGGGUCAUUCCUGGUGUUGCUGACGCUGGACGACGACCUGGACACGGUGCAGCGGGACAAGAUCUACGUCUUCUAGGGGAGCUGGGCCCCCUUGCUUCUCUCAUGGAGCCCCGAGCUCCUCUGCCUCACCUCCCGGAGGUUCCACAGUGCCAGGGGCCUGAGUCCCAGCCCUGCCGCCCAGUGCCAGGGGUGGUGGGACAGCGAGGUCCAGCCCAGGCUUGGGCCUGGGACAGUCACAGGGUGACCUUGAGCCUUGCUCCUGCCCUCUGCCAGGGAUGAGGCCUGUGCCCCUUCAACCCUGAAUGUUGGCCAAACUGCUGCUUUCUUCUCAGUGUUGGGGCCUUCCACGGGUCCCAGUCCAUCAGCUGUCCAAUUGUCGUUCUGCAGGAGGAAGGAGGGAAGCGUUGCCUGCCCAUUUCAUGGCUUGCAUUCUGGCUGUCCUUCCCCUUCCCCCUUGGCCUGGACCCAAAGCCCACCCUUCUUGCCCGAGCUUCCACUCCAGGGCCCCCUGUCUGGGGCCCGAUUGUCUGUCCUGCACCAGAGUUCACUCCACUUUUCCUGGGUCUGCGCCUGCCUGCCAUCACUGCCCUCUCUGGUCAGCCAGGAUGGAUGCGGCUGUCGGAUCUGGGGGGCAGACUGGCUGGUGCUGGGUUUUUGGUGCUAAGGCCUGCAAGGGAUCCUGGACAGCGCUGCCGCCUCCCUCUGACCUGCGCUCAGGGCUGGUUUUUUAGCAAUGAGGGACAAAGCCUGUAGCAUGGGAGCUGCCUGUGAUUGAAGAGCUGGAUUUGGAGGUCUUCUCACGUGCCAUCAGCCCCCAGACUGAUGAUGGCAACCAGGAUUGGACGGAAGAAGCACCUCACUCCUUUCCUUUCGUCCUCUUUCCAGGCCCUUAGUCCUGCCAAGCCCCACUUGCGGGCCUUUCAGUGCCAUUUGACACUGCCCAAGAAUGUCCAGAGGCGAAGGAGGGGCACUACAGAGAGCACAGCUCCUCCACGGCCGCAGGAGCCCCAGUGCCUGUCUUAGGGGCUCAGGGAAGGGACAUGCCCUUCCCCUCUGUGUCCCUGGUCCAGCCUCACUCUGGGACACAGGGCUGGCUUCUAAGUUUCCGUCCAGUCUUCAGCCAAGUUCUGUGUUACACACACACAUGCACACGUAUGAAACCUUGAGUUUACACUGAGUUGCCCCAACUCUGCUUCCCCUGGCCGCUCUUUCGCCCUACCUGGUCUGUUCCAGAUGCCAAGGUUGGGGAGAUCAAGUCGGGCCUCGGCCUUGGGGAUGGGAACGUGUUUUAUCCUCAACUUGUUUUUCUAGCUCUCCCUCGGGCUGGGCAGAGGCGGAGGGUCUGGAUCUUUCUUCAGAGCUCCGUUUAAUGUCUGUUUCCAUGCUAUGGUUGCAUUUCUGUUUUCUAUGAAUGAGUUUGCAU